rnacentral:rRNA from 1 species
GAUGAACGCUGGCGGCGUGCCUAAUACAUGCAAGUCGAGCGAACGGACGAGAAGCUUGCUUCUCUGAUGUUAGCGGCGGACGGGUGAGUAACACGUGGAUAACCUACCUAUAAGACUGGGAUAACUUCGGGAAACCGGAGCUAAUACCGGAUAAUAUUUUGAACCGCAUGGUUCAAAAGUGAAAGACGGUCUUGCUGUCACUUAUAGAUGUAUCCGCGCUGCAUUAGCUAGUUGGUAAGGUAACGGCUUACCAAGGCAACGAUGGAUAGCCGACCUGAGAGGGUGAUCGGCCACACUGGAACUGAGACACGGUCCAGACUCCUACGGGAGGCAGCAGUAGGGAAUCUUCCGCAAUGGGCGAAAGCCUGACGGAGCAACGCCGCGUGAGUGAUGAAGGUCUUCGGAUCGUAAAACGCUGUUAUUAGGGAAGAACAUAUGUGUAAGUAACUGUGCACAUCUUGACGGUACCUAAUCAGAAAGCCACGGCUAACUACGUG